GGUUAAGUUAACAAGGGCGCAUGGUGAAUGCCUUGGCACUAGGAGCCGAUGAAGGACGGGACUAACACCGAUAUGCUUCGGGGAGCUGUACGUAAGCUAUGAUCCGGAGAUUUCCGAAUGGGGCAACCCAGCAGUUUUAAUCAACUGUUACCACUAGAUGAAUUCAUAGUCUAGUUGGAGGUAAACGCUGUGAACUGAAACAUCUCAUUAGCAGCAGGAAUAUAAAGAAAUUUCGAUUCCCUAAGUAGCGGCGAGCGAACGGGGAACAGCCCAAACCAAAGUGCUUGCACUUUGGGGUUGUAGGACUGAACAUUUGAGUUACCAAAGAACUUGAUAGUCGAAGGAUUUGGGAAAAUCCGCCAUAGAUGGUGAUAGCCCAGUAGAUUAAAUCAAAUUCUCUCAGUUCAGGAUCCUGAGUACGGCGGAACACGUGAAAUUCCGUCGGAAUCCGGGAGGACCAUCUCCCAAGGCUAAAUACUACCUAGUGACCGAUAGUGAACCAGUACCGUGAGGGAAAGGUGAAAAGCACCCCGGGAGGGGAGUGAAAUAGUUCCUGAAACCAUGUGCCUACAAUAAGUCAGAGCGCGUUAAUGCGUGAUGGCGUGCCUUUUGUAGAAUGAACCGGCGAGUUAUGAUCCCGUGCAAGGUUAAGACUAAAAAGUCGGAGCCGUAGCGAAAGCGAGUCUGAAAUGGGCGUUUUGAGUACGAGGUUAUAGACCCGAAACCAGGUGACCUAUCCAUGUCCAGGUUGAAGGUGCGGUAAAACGCACUGGAGGACCGAACCCGUGUAAGUUGAAAAUUGCUGGGAUGAGGUGUGGAUAGCGGUGAAAUUCCAAACGAACUUGGAGAUAGCUGGUUCUCUCCGAAAUAGCUUUAGGGCUAGCCUCGGAAUUAGGAUCAUGGAGGUAGAGCACUAUUUGGACUAGGGGCCCGUCUUGGGUUACUGAAUUCAGAUAAACUCCGAAUGCCAUUGAUUCAUAUCCGGGAGUCAGACGAUGAGUGAUAAGAUCCACCGUCGAAAGGGGAACAGCCCAGACCAUCAGUUAAGGUCCCUAAAUGUAUGCUAAGUGGAAAAGGAUGUGGAGUUGCAUAGACAACUAGGAUGUUGGCUCAGAAGCAGCCACCAUUUAAAGAGUGCGUAAUAGCUCACUAGUCGAGUGAUCCUGCGCCGAAAAUGUACCGGGGCUAAGCAUACUACCGAAACCAUGGAUGCGACCAUUAGGUCGCGUGAUAGGAGAGCGUUCUAAGGGCGGUGAAGCAAGAUCGUGAGGACUUGUGGAGCGCUUAGAAGUGAGAAUGCCGGUAUGAGUAGCGAAAGAUAGGUGAGAAUCCUAUCCACCGAAUGACUAAGGUUUCCUGGGGAAGGCUCGUCCUCCCAGGGUUAGUCGGGACCUAAGUCGAGGCCGAGAGGCGUAGACGAUGGAUAACAGGUUGAGAUUCCUGUACUAGUUAAGUGCGUUUGAGCAAUGGAGGGACGCAGGAGGCUAAGAUGUGCAUUCUGUUGGAUUAGAAUGUCCAAGCAGUAAGUCUUGUGAAGAGUCAAAUGCUUUUCACUUUAAGGACAAGCUGUGAUGGGGAGCGAAAUUUAGUAGCGAAGCGUCUGAUGUCACACUGCCGAGAAAAGCUUCUAGUGAGUACUUAACUACCCGUACCGCAAACCGACACAGGUAGUCGAGGAGAGAAUCCUAAGGUGAGCGAGUGAACUCUCGUUAAGGAACUCGGCAAAAUGACCCCGUAACUUCGGGAGAAGGGGUGCUGAUCGCAAGAUCAGCCGCAGUGAAUAGGCCCAGGCGACUGUUUAUCAAAAACACAGGUCUCUGCAAAAUCGUAAGAUGACGUAUAGGGGCUGACGCCUGCCCGGUGCUGGAAGGUUAAAAGGAUGGGUUAGCUUCGGCGAAGCUCAGAAUUGAAGCCCCAGUAAACGGCGGCCGUAACUAUAACGGUCCUAAGGUAGCGAAAUUCCUUGUCGGGUAAGUUCCGACCCGCACGAAAGGCGUAACGAUCUGGGCACUGUCUCAACGAGAGACUCGGUGAAAUUAUAUUGUCCGUGAAGAUGCGGACUACCCGCGACAGGACGGAAAGACCCCAUGGAGCUUUACUGUAGCUUGAUAUUGAGUGUUUGUACAGCUUGUACAGGAUAGGUAGGAGCCAUAGAAACCGGAACGCUAGUUUCGGUGGAGGCAUUGGUGGGAUACUACCCUCGCUGUAUGACCACUCUAACCCGCACCACUAAUCGUGGUGGGAGACAGUGUCAGGUGGGCAGUUUGACUGGGGCGGUCGCCUCCUAAAAAGUAACGGAGGCGCCCAAAGGUUCCCUCAGAAUGGUUGGAAAUCAUUCGCAGAGUGUAAAGGCACAAGGGAGCUUGACUGCGAGACAGACAGGUCGAGCAGGGACGAAAGUCGGGCUUAGUGAUCCGGUGGUACCGUAUGGAAGGGCCAUCGCUCAACGGAUAAAAGCUACCCUGGGGAUAACAGGCUUAUCUCCCCCAAGAGUCCACAUCGACGGGGAGGUUUGGCACCUCGAUGUCGGCUCAUCGCAUCCUGGGGCUGUAGUCGGUCCCAAGGGUUGGGCUGUUCGCCCAUUAAAGCGGUACGCGAGCUGGGUUCAGAACGUCGUGAGACAGUUCGGUCCCUAUCCGUCGCGGGCGUAGGAAAUUUGAGAGGACCUGUCCUUAGUACGAGAGGACCGGGAUGGACAUACCUCUGGUGUACCAGUUGUGCCGCCAGGCGCAUCGCUGGGUAGCUACGUAUGGAUGUGAUAAACGCUGAAAGCAUCUAAGUGUGAAACACACCUCGAGAUGAGAUUUCCCAUUCCUUUAUGGAAGUAAGACCCCUGAAAGAUGAUCAGGUAGAUAGGUUAGAAGUGGCAGUGCGGUGACGCAUGAAGCGGACUAAUACUAAUCGGUCGAGGACUUAACCAA
rnacentral:rRNA from 1 species